CCUUAUCCUGUACUAAGAUCUCCUUCUGCAAGUAUUUUAUAAUUCUUAAUCAUUUUCUUAGCUCAAGACAAUGCAAGAGGGAAAACUUAGGUUCUUUCAGUCACUACCAGUAACCCAGCAGCCUGAGUAUUGAGAAGAGGAUGGAAGACUCCAUCCUGGGCAGUAGGUACCUUAUUACUUCAACAUGCCAUUCACUCACAAUUAAUUUUCAUUUUCUUAUGAAAACAGAGUAAAAACGAGAUUGUGGAGUAGGAAAGGAUGGUCAGAAAGCUGUGGAGAUGGCGUAGCUCUGGCAACUUCUUGCUGAAGCAGAUCCUCAGCCUUACUCUUAUAUCUGCCUCAGCGUGGACAAUCAGGCUUUUUGAAUAGUUCACAAAGCAGGAGAAGUCAUUCCAAAGCAUGCGGCAAAAGCCAAAGCUGGCAUGGAUUCAACCAAGACAACCCCUGAUGAACCACAGUCUGCAGGAGAUGUCAAAAUGGGCAUGGGAAAGAAACCUGGCCCCAAGAUUCUGUAUAUACUACUGCAAGCCCUGGAGAGGAAGAAGGAUGGGUGCAGUACAAGCCUCAAACGCACGGCAUUGAGGCAGUGAUAGAUCAGAUUGCUGGGGAACAGUGGUGAUGGAUAAUGCCCCGUAUGGCCUAAAUCAGCAUGUAGAAAUGUACACUUAGGGGUGCUGUUAUUUAUGAUGAAGAAUAAGGAAGAGAAGCAUCUCUUGUGAAUUGCUAGGCAGGUGUUUGUUCCCUGGGGAAGUGAUAGGAAACCCAUCCUUGACCUGAAAUUACUUGGAGGAAAGAACUUCUUUUGGUUUUGUUUCUUUGCAUGGUGUGAAAGUCAGUUUGCCAUCUAGGGAAAAUGAAUGUGGAUGGUCCUCGGAUGUCCCUAAAGGAAGAACGACCACUUUAUUAAGCCAGUAAGGUCAUCUAGAGAUCUUAUUUCUCAGUAUACACGACUUUGAAGGCUGGUAACAGAAUAAACAUGAUAUUUGGAAUGUUUCUAGAAUAUACUUAGGGCACCUGGCAAGGCUGACAUAGCUUUUGCUGAUUUGUCUGCUUAUGAGUGGACAGGAUGCCAGUCUGGCAGUCUGCAUUGGCAAUAAAUCACCACUAGACAUUUUAUUUAAAAUUUGGCACUGGCUUGGAAGAGGUGAGGGAUUGUCAAUUUGUUUUUAUUUUGAGGCCAGGCACAACCAUAACACAAACAGGCCACCUGGAAACGUUAGCACAUAUGAAAAAGCGUGGCUCUGUUCUGUGGCUAUUGCACACUUGGCGAGAGUAGGGAAGGCUAAAUGAGAGUGCAAGCAUCCCUGACCAGGAAGACCCUGGCAGACCUGUGCAGCCUGAGGCGGCCCUGCUGGAAACCACACUGGUUCUGAACAUGUGAUCUAGGAAGGGAAGCAUGAGCAUAAUAGAGGAGAUAAAAUUUGGUUUCCCCUUUUAUUGGAAGGUUCUCACAGAGAGUAUUAGGAAUGCACAAUCACUGUGGUCCAUCCAAGAAAUCAGCCAACAAUAAAGCUGAUCUAUUGAGCUGGCUUCUUCCUGCCUUCUCACAUCUCAUGUCUUUUCUUGUACGCUCACUCUUCUGUCUUUAUUUUGUCUUAGAUUUUUCCUUUUAAGUGGUAAACUGUGAUACAUGCCUCACUGUUUUCAGUGAAAAAAAUUUUAAGGUAGGGUCUAGAGAUUACACUCAGUAUAGAGUUAUUGUCUAGCACGCAUGAGAUUCUAGGUUCAAUAACAGUGUAGAGUUAUUGCCUAGCAUGUAUCAAAUUCUAGGUCCAAUAGCAGAUACAUACACAUAUGCAUGAAAGUAUACACAGGUAUGUGUACACACACACAGAGAGAGAGAGAGAGAGACAGACAGAGAGAGAGAGAGAGAGAGAGAGAGAGAGAGAGAGAGAGAGAGAGAAGAGAAAGAGAGAAGGAAAAGCUUACUACCUUGGACUAUUACAGCUACCCCAAUGGCAAUAAUUAAGACCUAUUCCCAACUCUCAUCAGUUACAUGAUUUUCUGAAUAUUCUUUAAGGCUACACAACAUUGCUGAAGAACUUAAUUUUCUUUUUCCAUUUUAAACAUGAAGUUAUUUUUUUCCUCAGGAAAGUCAUAUUUCAAAUACACCAAUUUAUCAAGAUACCAGUCUUGUCUUCAUUUGCAUGUAAUAUUUAUAAACCUUAAUUGUACUCCACCUUGUUGCCAUGCAAACAAUUAAGAUCACUUAAGUAAGCUCUGAGAAUGGCUACAUUUGUUCACGUAUUAGAUAUAUGCAAUUCACUUAUGAAGCUACAAGUAUUUAAAUGGCCCUGACUUGGCUUUCAAAGAGUCUUUCACCUCCUUUCCCUUAUUUCAUAUGUAUAGUUUUGGUAACACUGUCUGCCAAAACGUAGGAAAAAUAUAAGCCCUGGUUUCUUCUUGGUGAAAUCGUUGGAAAUGAUGUGCUGUGAGAAAGCCAUCCAGUUGUAUACUUAAGUGCUCAGCAUUCGACGGUUCUCCUGGUAUUUAGGACUUUGUACUUAAGGGAUAUAUGGCAUUAAUUACUCAGAAAAAUUGGCUACAUUAGGUAUUUGGCUGAAAGGAUUUUUCUUUGUCUUAGAUAUGUACUAUUAGAUUGCUUAUAAAAAUGUUUGCAAAGUUCUCUUAUGAGUGUAAGCUGGAAUUUGAUGUUACAACAUCCCAUGAUGUGUCUGCUGUUAGUUGAGGAUAUUCAUAAGAGGAUACAAAGAAAAGUAGAAAAAUGAGAACCAGCGCCAGAGCAGCCAUUUACAACCCCCCACAAUUGGGUUAGUUUGAGCAAAUCAAAUGGCUGCAUUGAAAGUCCACUCCUCACUCAGGAAAGUCAAGAUGUGGUGUGCAGGAGACUAAAGAGGAAGGCCGGUGUUUAGGAUUCCCAAGAGAUGCAGGCCAUUAUUAGAUGUUUAUAUUUCUAUCUGAUUGCCUGGAGGUGCUGCUUUGGAAACAGAGACAUAAAGACUUUCAUCUUAGUACAUGUCUCAAUCAUUUGUUUGAAUUCUGAUUUGAAUGUUUCCUACCCAGUUUAACACUGAUAUGUAGGUGUGUACAGGGUUCUCGAGUCUUCUAAACAACCUGUGAAUUUUAGGAUAUUGUGCUUUAUGUAUUUUCCUUUCCUAUGUUUUGGUUGUUACAGUGCACAAAUUGUGUUUGUAUGUGCUAAUUAAAGUGUAACUUCAAAUUAAGCCUCACUCUGUAGAUUCAGAAUUUUACAAGUAUGUGUGUUUUUCUUCCUAAAGUUUUGAAGUAGAUAGCAUCAUUUGUUUUAAUAGAAUAAAUGAGACAUAAGAUGUAUCUUAUAUACAUAUAUAGCUAUAGGCGUAUAAAAAUAAAUUAGUGGAGAAUCAUAAAUGUUAAAAGUAUCUCAUUUUCCAAGUAGAAUGCCACUAAUAUUCAUUAGGUUCUUUAAGCACAGAAGGGCACAUCCAUGCAUGUCCAUUAUGGCACUUGCCUUCUGGCUAACUGAAACAAAAAUAGUCUGUGAGGGAGAGACCUGCAAGGUUGGUGCCAACUUCCCCAACAUACCCAAGAAUUUCUUUAUUUAGAACCUCCCAUGUGCUAUUUUUUAAUCUCUGGAAUCUCAGGGAUUUUCCCAUCCCUCUACAUGCUAGAGACAUUCCAGGGCAUGGCAACCCCCUGUUGGAGUUCUCAACCUCUUCCGUUUUAUUUUUAAAAUAUGGACAGUGACUGUUCCUGUGACAAAGGAUAUGAUUCCCAACAUGCAUCACCAGACACCCGAGGACCAUUGUGGGCUAGAGAAGCCAAUUCAGUGAGCCACCAAGACGCUGCUUAAGGCACCCUUGAGAGUAAAGAUUAAAAAACAGAGAGCUCUGUGAGGAGGUCGGGAGAAGUAUGCGGCAGCAUCACUAACUGCUUUGUGUCAUUCCCCAUCAUUCAGAGACCAUGGGUCGUCUUUGCCCAAGAGACCAUACAUAUUUAAUGUUUUUCAUUUCAAGUGCUAGAAGAUGCAAUAGGCUUCAACUUUGGUAGUAUAUUUGCUUUUCUUACAAGUAAUGGCAAUUUGGCUUUCCUUGAGUCAGACCAUGGUAAUCUCUAAGGCAUUUAUCCUAACAACAUCACCCCUUUGCACUGUAUAGGUGAAACUACUAAUGUAUACUUGAACAUUUUAUCCUAUUUUCAUAUUGUGUUUGUGAUGUAAACAUAUCCCAGUCUUUGCAAUAACGCACAACACACAGUUCAGAGAACUCCUUUUCAGUCAUGAAUAUCUGAGUCUGCGAUUCACACAAACCAUACUUUUGUUUGACUCCAAAAUGUGGGUGCCAAAUGAAUCUACUGCACUGGGCUUAUGAACACUACUGCAACUGUGCAGCCACUAUUUCUCUACUGGGAGAAUUGUUUCAGCAGAUAAACCAUCUGGCUUGAAACACAGCCUUCUUUGAAAAUAUUCCCCAUUAUGUUAGCUCUGAAACAAUGUGUACAACUAUGCUCCAGGGAAGGACAUGGUUAACAGAAAUUCAAUGUCAAACAAUGUCUUCUCUGUUAUUCCUGGUAAAUGUUAAAAAGAGGUAAUCAAAAUGCAAGACUUUAAUUCCUUAAAAGAUCAUUGUGAAUGUGUCAUAAGAUGAAGAAAAUUCGGGAAAAUAUUUAAUAAAAAAUAUAAAAAGA